GUUGAUUUCCAAUGUGAAGCCUUACACUUUAGACAUGAUUCAAAUUUUUCAUGCUUCUAGUAUAGAAUGCAAUUAUUGUCACAAGCAUGAAUACUAAUGUACCAAAGUCCUAUGGACUUAAUUAGUUUCUUAGUUUCAUAGUAGUUUCUGGGUAGUGUUGAACCCUCAGGUAAGACAUCAUUAAAUAGAUCUAGUACAAGGUUAAAACUUUUGUCAGUCCAUCCUCCAAGGAGCUUGAUGUGAAGUAGCCUAAUCAAGAAGCACGGUUUAGUGUACUUCUUGCAAUUAGGAAAUAAUUCUUGACUAUUGGCUUCUACCAACUUUUGGAGUUCAACUAGUUCUUUAGGAAGCUCAGCGGAACUAUUGUCUUCGAAAUGCUCUCUAUCAUCUAAACCACAAGCUAGGUCUCUAAGCAAUGCAGAUAUAUCAUCCUCUUCACUAGACUCUUCCACAAGAUUAGCACCAUCACCAUUGUUGAUCGGUAUUCACAUAAGAGGAACUAGCUUCCCCAUGUAAGUUCCAAGUU
rnacentral:lncRNA from 1 species